rnacentral:rRNA from 1 species
GCUUAGUGAGGUCUCCGGAUUGGCUUUGGGAAGCCGGCGACGGCAUCCUAUUGCUGAGAAGCUGAUCAAACUUGGUCAUUUAGAGGAAGUAAAAGUCGUAACAAGGUUUCCGUAGGUGAACCUGCGGAAGGAUCAUUAUUGAAUUAAACUUGGUUGGGUUGUUGCUGGCUUUUCGGAGCAUGUGCACACCUAGCGCCAUUUUWAAACCACCUGUGCACUUUUUGUAGACUUGAAACACCUCUCGAGGCAACUCGGAUUGAGGAACUGCUGUUCUGUGUAAUAACUCAGCUUUCCUUGCGUUUCAAGUCUAUGUUUUUUUAUAUACCCUAAGAAUGUUUUAGAAUGUCAUUAAUUGGGCUGUGAUGGCCUAUAAAAUUAAUACAACUUUCAACAACGGAUCUCUUGGCUCUCGCAUCGAUGAAGAACGCAGCGAAAUGCGAUAAGUAAUGUGAAUUGCAGAAUUCAGUGAAUCAUCGAAUCUUUGAACGCACCUUGCGCUCCUUGGUAUUCCGAGGAGCAUGCCUGUUUGAGUGUCAUUAAAUUCUCAACCAUUUCAGUUUUUAUAAGCUGGAUUGGCUUGGAUGUGGAGGUUUGCGGGCUUCUUAAGAAGUCGGCUCCUCUUAAAUGCAUUAGUGGAACCUUUGUGAACCAGCUUUGGUGUGAUAAUUAUCUACGCCAUAGUUGUGAAGUAACUUUAUAUGGGGUUCAGCUUCUAACAGUCCAUUGACUUGGACAAUUUAUUGACAUUUUGACCUCAAAUC